CCCGUAGGGAGCGAGCGUUGUCCGGAUUCAUUGGGCGUAAAGCGCGCGUAGCCGGACGUGCAAGACGGUCGUGAAAUCCCGGGGCUCAACCCCGCGAACCGCGCCCGAUACUGCACGACUGGAGGCAGGUAGGGGAGAUCGGAAUUCCUGGUGUAGCGGUGAAAUGCGCAGAUUUCAGGAAGAACACCGGUGGCGAAGGCGGAUCUCUGGGCCUGUUCUGAAGCUGAGGCGCGAAAGCUAGGGGAGCGAACAGG
rnacentral:rRNA from 1 species